AGUGAACGCUGGCGGUAGGCCUAACACAUGCAAGUCGAACGGCAGCACAGUAAGAGCUUGCUCUUACGGGUGGCGAGUGGCGGACGGGUGAGGAAUACAUCGGAAUCUACUUUUUCGUGGGGGAUAACGUAGGGAAACUUACGAUAAUACCGCAUACGACCUACGGGUGAAAGCAGGGGAUCUUCGGACCUUGCGCGAUUGAAUGAGCCGAUGUCGGAUUAGCUAGUUGGCGGGGUAAAGGCCCACCAAGGCGACGAUCCGUAGCUGGUCUGAGAGGAGGAUCAGCCACACUGGAACUGAGACGCGGUCCAGACUCCUACGGGAGGCAGCAGUGGGGAAUAUUGGACAAUGGGCGCAAGCCUGAUCCAGCCAUACCGCGUGGGUGAAGAAGGCCUUCGGUUUGUAAAGCCCUUUUGUUGGUAAAGAAAAGCAGCAGGUUAAUACCCCGCUGUUCUGACGGUACCCAAAGAAUAAGCACCGGCUAACUUCGUG
rnacentral:rRNA from 1 species